GAAGAAGGACUGGAGUGAAAGAGCUGAGGCUGCAGGAAGGUGGUGCAGGCGAACCACAGACAGUGCCUGCCGCUCACUGUGUCCGCCUGGAAAGUGCUAAAUGCAUUGUGAACGUGUGUUACAAAUUAUUACCGUUACUAGACUGGGUAUGCUUCCAUGAAGGAAGGAACCAGACCCACCAUCUCAAAUUGGGCAUUUUCACCAUUCUCGGCCUCAUUUGACCUUCACAACAAUCCUUUGGGGAAGGUACUCUUGUUAUCUCCCUCUUGGAAUUGAGGAAACCGAUGCACAGAGAGGGUGUCCUGCUCAAGUUCACACACAGCUCCAGAAGCCGGGUGUCAAACCCAUUCAGGUCCUUCCUGCUGUCAUUUUGAGGUGUCUCAGAACCUCCCAGAAUUCUUUACUUUUGCUAGGCCCGAUCUGUUUCUUCGUGGUUACCAGCAGCGAAACAACUACUAUGAAAGGAAAGGAGGCCACGGGCUUGUUUUGGAGGGAACAAGACUGGGCAGAAGAAGGGGCCCCACCGCCUGGCUCUGCAGGAGAAUCUUGACAUGGACUCCAAGGGGCCACGGGGAAGGGAGAGAAGCAGAGCCAAAUCCUGAGGAUUUCCUUUUCACUUUUUUAGCUAAAUCUCCAUACAGCUGAGAACUCAGGCCUUCCAGGACUGGAUCCUCCAGCCCUGUCCUUACCCUCCCAGGGUACUGGGUCUCAAAUCCCAGUCUUCCAGCUGUGGGACAGGCCCAGCCUGCAGGUUUUUCCUCCAGAGCCAAGUUCCAGGAGCCAAGGCCCCUUGAGUGAAAGCAACACGUGUAAAGAGCGUCUGACUCGGAACUAGACCUGGAGCUGCCUUCCCAAGAUGUGCAGGGCCAGGACCAGCCCUUGUCCUGCCCCUGGUGGGGGUGACAUUCUCUGCUCUCACUCACUCCUUUCUCCAGAAUGACACCUCUAGUCUCACCAUUACUGCAGUCCUUUGGGAUAAGCACUCGGGUUAAGCGCCUUGCAAUGAGUCUGCGGGGAGAUGACAUGAAAUCUCAAAUACCUUCAUGGGCAUUUAUCCCCUCAAGGGCGUGUGGGGGUGAAUAUGCUAUUCCAGGAGCUGCAAGGGGUUGGGGGUGGCACAGGAAGAGGUAAGGGUAGAAAACACUGGAGAAACAGGUCCCAAUCUGGCCUGGGGGGCAGGACCUGGAGAACAGGCGGUAGAACUUGGAAGAAAAAAGGAACUGAAUCAGGUGCUUUUUUAUGAGACCAUUACAUUUUCAGCAACACCACUGCUGGAGAGUUGGUCUGCUUUUAGAACCGGAUGAAGGCAGUGCUGUCAGGGUUUGGUGCUCUGGGAGAGGCCACCUGGGGUCUGCACGUGUCUUCUCCCCCCA
rnacentral:lncRNA from 1 species